ACACGUCUACAUUAGAUACCCGUGUAGUCCCAGCCGUAAACUAUGCGCGUUAGGUGUAUCGGUGACCACGAGUCACCGAGGUGCCGAAGGGAAACCGUGAAACGUGCCGCCUGGGAAGUACGGUCGCAAGGCUGAAACUUAAGGAAUUGGCGGGGAGCACCACAACGGGUGGAGCCUGCGGUUUAAUUGGACUCAACGCCGGGAAGCUCACCGGAUAAGACAGCGGAAUGAUUGCCGGGCUGAAGACUCUGCAUGACUAGCUG
rnacentral:rRNA from 1 species